rnacentral:rRNA from 1 species
ACAGGAUUAGAUACCCUGGUAGUCCACGCCGUAAACGAUGUCGACUUGGAGGCUGUUCCCUUGAGGAGUGGCUUCCGGAGCUAACGCGUUAAGUCGACCGCCUGGGGAGUACGGCCGCAAGGUUAAAACUCAAAUGAAUUGACGGGGGCCCGCACAAGCGGUGGAGCAUGUGGUUUAAUUCGAUGCAACGCGAAGAACCUUACCUGGCCUUGACAUCCAGAGAACUUUCCAGAGAUGGAUUGGUGCCUUCGGGAACUUUGAGACAGGUGCUGCAUGGCUGUCGUCAGCUCGUGUUGUGAAAUGUUGGGUUAAGUCCCGCAACGAGCGCAACCCUUAUCCUUUGUUGCCAGCGAUUCGGUCGGGAACUCAAAGGAGACUGCCGGUGAUAAACCGGAGGAAGGUGGGGAUGACGUCAAGUCAUCAUGGCCCUUACGAGUAGGGCUACACACGUGCUACAAUGGCGCAUACAAAGAGAAGCGACCUCGCGAGAGCAAGCGGACCUCAUAAAGUGCGUCGUAGUCCGGAUCGGAGUCUGCAACUCGACUCCGUGAAGUCGGAAUCGCUAGUAAUCGUGGAUCAGAAUGCCACGGUGAAUACGUUCCCGGGCCUUGUACACACCGCCCGUCACACCAUGGGAGUGGGUUGCAAAAGAAGUAGGUAGCUUAACCUUCGGGAGGGCGCUUACCACUUUGUGAUUCAUGACUGGGGUGAAGUCGUAACAAGGUAGC